CUGGAUGAGGCUUACAGAGUGCUUAAACCAGGAGGUAGAUUCCUUUGCCUAGAGUUUAGUGAGGUCCAGGAUUCACUCUUAAGGAUGGCCUAUGACAGAUAUUCUUUUGAUGUGAUACCAGUCCUUGGAGAUGUCAUCGCUGGUGACUGGAAAUCAUACCAAUACUUAGUAGAGAGCAUUAGACAGUUUCCUAAACAGAAAGAGUUUUCCACGAUGAUUGGGGAUGCCGGUUUCAGCCUUGUAAUACAU